rnacentral:lncRNA from 1 species
AAAAAAAAGGUACUGGUUGAGCCUAGUGGUCAAGAUUCCAGCCGCUGACACCCGUGUUCAGAGCAGUCUUAUUCACGGCGGCCAAAGGAGGAAACAGCCCACGAGUCCAUUCACAGAUGAACAGGGUGCCUUCAUGGGAUGUCCCACGUGGUCUUGUCUUCGCUCAGGUUGCCGUAACAGAAUACCAUAG